rnacentral:tRNA from 1 species
GCGCGAGUGGCGGAAUUGGCAGACGCGCUGGAUUUAGGUUCCAGUGUCUUCGGACGUGCAGGUUCAAGUCCUGUCUCGCGCA